GGCGGCGUGCUUAACACAUGCAAGUCAAGGGGGCCCGCAAGGGCAACCGGCGAACGGGUGCGUAACACGUGAGCAACCUGCCGAUCUGCGGGGGAUAGCCGGCCCAACGGCCGGGUAAUACCGCAUACGUUCUCGAGGGGGAGUCCCCUUGAGAGGAAACCUUUAUUGGGCGGAUCGAGGGGCUCGCGGCCUAUCAGCUAGUUGGCGGGGUAAUGGCCCACCAAGGCUCUGACGGGUAGCUGGUCUGAGAGGAUGGCCAGCCACAUUGGGACUGAGAAACGGCCCAGACUCCUACGGGAGGCAGCAGUGGGGAAUCUUGCGCAAUGGCCGAAAGGCUGACGCAGCGACGCCGCGUGUGGGAGGACGCCCUUCGGGGUGUAAACCACUGUUGCCCGGGACGAACAUCCUCUUUCGAGAGGACUGACGGUACCGGGUGAGGAAGCACCGGCUAACUCCGUGCCAGCAGCCGCGGUAAUACGGANGGUGCG
rnacentral:rRNA from 1 species